UUCGGGUUAGUGGCGGACGGGUGAGUAACGCGUGAGAAUCUGCCCUCAGGAGGGGGAUAACGGCUGGAAACGGCCGCUAAUACCCCAUAUGCCGAGAGGUGAAACGAAUUUCGCCUGAGGAUGAGCUCGCGUCUGAUUAGCUAGUUGGUGAGGUAAUGGCUCACCAAGGCUUCGAUCAGUAGCUGGUCUGAGAGGAUGAUCAGCCACACUGGGACUGAGACACGGCCCAGACUCCUACGGGAGGCAGCAGUGGGGAAUUUUCCGCAAUGGGCGCAAGCCUGACGGAGCAACGCCGCGUGAGGGAUGAAGGCCUCUGGGCUGUAAACCUCUUUUAUCAAGGAAGAAGAUCUGACGGUACUUGAUGAAUAAGCCACGGCUAAUUCCGUGCCAGCAGCCGCGGUAAUACGGGAGUGGCAAGCGUUAUCCGGAAUUAUUGGGCGUAAAGCGUCCGCAGGCGGUCUUGUAAGUCUGUUGUUAAAGCGUGGAGCUCAACUCCAUUUAAGCAAUGGAAACUACAAGACUAGAGUGUGGUAGGGGCAGAGGGAAUUCCCGGUGUAGCGGUGAAAUGCGUAGAUAUCGGGAAGAACACCAGUGGCGAAGGCGCUCUGCUGGGCCAUAACUGACGCUCAUGGACGAAAGCCAGGGGAGCGAAAGGGAUUAGAUACCCCUGUAGUCCUGGCCGUAAACGAUGAACACUAGGUGUCGGGGGAAUCGACCCCCUCGGUGUCGUAGCCAACGCGUUAAGUGUUCCGCCUGGGGAGUACGCACGCAAGUGUGAAACUCAAAGGAAUUGACGGGGGCCCGCACAAGCGGUGGAGUAUGUGGUUUAAUUCGAUGCAACGCGAAGAACCUUACCAGGGUUUGACAUCCUGCGAAUCCCUUGGAAACUUGGGAGUGCCUUCGGGAGCGCAGUGACAGGUGGUGCAUGGCUGUCGUCAGCUCGUGUCGUGAGAUGUUGGGUUAAGUCCCGCAACGAGCGCAACCCACGUCUUUAGUUGCCAGCAUUGAGUUGGGCACUCUAGAGAGACUGCCGGUGAUAAACCGGAGGAAGGUGUGGAUGACGUCAAGUCAUCAUGCCCCUUACAUCCUGGGCUACACACGUACUACAAUGCUACGGACAAAGGGCAGCAAACUCGCGAGAGCUAGCAAAUCCCAUAAACCGUGGCUCAGUUCAGAUCGUAGGCUGCAACUCGCCUACGUGAAGGAGGAAUCGCUAGUAAUCGCAGGUCAGCAUACUGCGGUGAAUACGUUCCCGGGCCUUGUACACACCGCCCGUCACACCAUGGAAGUUGGCCAUGCCCGAAGUCGUUACUCCAACCCUUGUGGAGGAGGAUGCCGAAGGUGGGGCUGAUGACUGGGGUGAAGUCGUAACAAGGUAGCCGUACCGGAAGGUGC
rnacentral:rRNA from 1 species